rnacentral:ncRNA from 1 species
UCGCAAGGCUCAAUUAUGGGCUGAUACCGCAGUAAUGCGGUAUUGAUUACUCGUCAAAUUCGGUGAAGCCCUUAAAAAGGUAACGCCGAGCCAAUCCCAGCAUUUACGGUAAAUGCUGGGCAGGUGUAGAGACUAGACGGCGAGCCCCCGAUUUAUCGGGGUGAAGGCAUAGUCCAGACCACGAAUCUUUUAGAGA